CAAAGUUUGAAGGCAAGAUUUUUGAGUGGAACUAAUUUUGGUACACACCCUGGAGGCUUAUCUGUUCUUUCCAGGAUGAAUUAAAAUAAGGCAUAACUUUCUCCUACAAUCCUUGCCUCAUUUAGUGCAGAAAUUCUGAGACCAAAAAACAAUGAAGAAUUACUAUAUAACUAAAUCAUAGUUUUUAUAGCUGUGUAAAAGAAAUCAGAAGUAAACUCAUGAGCCUUCUUCACCUCCCAGAUCUGUUGUGCUGAAUAGGGUGUACCAAAGUAUCUUCUCUACUUUUGAAAGUCAUCAUUCCAGAAGAGGAUUAUCUGAUUUAAAAACAAACAAACAAACAAAAACCUCGGGCAAUGGUUUUAUUCACUAAGUCAUAUCUGCAAAAAAUAAAGACUUCCAUUUCUUUAGCACUUACUGCAAGCACUGAAUAAGGAAAACAAAAAACACAAAGCACGUCUGUGGAAAUCCUCUUCAAGUCAGACAUACUAUUGUUGAAUAUAAUUAGCACAAGGCAAAAUAAACAGGUAGGUGGUUCUCACCUUCUUAAACUUUUGUUUGGAGUUAUGCUUAGGGUGUGCAUGCUUCUAAUGCUUGUACUCACCUCAACAACCUUUCCAUGCUGUUAGUAACUUCAUUAACAGCUGCACGUUACCAAAUGUAUAAUUAUGAUUAGUCAUGUUGUAGGAAUAUCUUGGAUUAUGUGAUAUCACCUUAUUAGGCACCUUAGUAUCCAAGUGCCAAAAAUAUUAGCACAUAAUUGGAGUUUUAUGGGCCAUCUGUAUUUUAAUGCCUGUAAAGAAACCUUGUAAAGGGGACCACUUUUUAAAGGCAUAAAGGAUUAUGUAAACCUGAAAUAGAAUUUGAGAAACUUUAAUUGCUUCGGCACGGAACACUCUGUUGAAUGGAAUGCAAAGGAGAUACAGAUAAUACUUUUUUGCUGCAUGACUCAAAAAGAAAAUACUUGUUGGUUGGGCAAGGAGAUUAAUUUGAUGAGGCUGGAACUAUAGCUGCUAAACGGGAUAAGGGUUUGCACAGAGAGUUCAUGUUUCCCAGAGAACAUCUCUGAAAUAACUAAGGGAGAAGAGAAAUAGGAACAAAAGGAGCUCAGUCAGUCACUUCAAGGUUGUUUCAUAAAAGAAGCAAACAGGAUUAGCUAUAAUGAGAUUAUCAGCUAAUUCUGUGAGGCAACACCCAUAAGAAUCAAUAGGCAAAGGAGAGGGAGUUGGUCUCAGUGGUAUUGUUAACAGCAGUGAGAUAUCAGUGUCAGGAAUAGGGCUUUUGCCCAAUAAUAUGAAAUACUGUUGUAGCUGUAAAAUUGAACUAUAAUCUCUGAUAGCAAGAAUAUUUCUGCCCAGCAUGUGAAAGAUCCCGAAGCUCAAUGCUCUGAGUUCAUUAGGAAAAUUCCUUUUACAAAGUAACCAGAAUUACCUUUUCACCAAUACAUUCUUUUUUGCCGCUGGAGCACUGCAUUCAGGCAAAACAGCAAGGCAAACAGUUUUCCUGCAUUGCCCCUUUCUGCAGCUUGCUGUUCUGCUUUCUGCUUUCUGAAUAUUUCUCUGGCAGCGUACUCUUAAAGCCAUACAUGCACUUUGCCACCAACAGUGAGUGUGUGUUUUCUGUCCAUGUCACAGAAGGUCACCAUAAUCAGGAGAGUAAAACCCAUCCUGGGGCUGUCCUCUUUAUUACUGAGAGUCUCUUUAUAUCAGGGUCAAACACUUGGUAACACUUGGAGGAACAAAUCAUCCCACUAUAAUUCCUGCUACCAAAAGUCUCCUUUGACCUCUAGCUUUCCUCUUCCUGUGUUGUUGCUGGUGGACUCAGAGCUGGGCACAUUCCUUGUGCUAUUUAAAGAACUUCUUGAGCUGGUACAUUAUUUUAAGACUACCACUGUAUUCUUUAAAGUACCAACAGGAAGCAUUUAGCCUACGUAAAUCUUAGUAACUCUUCUGUUCUCGCUUUGUACACAGAGACAAGAUUUUCUGCGUUAUAUAAACAAAAUUAGAUUUACUAACAGAGGACCCUGUCCCACAUAACAUUUUCCUCUUCAGCCCUCUUCUCAGAGAGACUUUCCAUACUGGGAAACCCUGCCACAGCUAACUGGAAAGGUCUUUGAAUACAGCUUCAGAUGUAGCACCCAUGUCAUGCUGAAAGGUCUUCUUGUUUCAAGGGUUGCAGUCGUGAUAAAGGAGCACAAAAACUGUAACAGCUGAGUGCAGCUGAAAGUCAAGGAAGAGUUUUGUCAGGACUACAGGGGUGAAACACCUGCAGGGUUAUUUCAACCAUAUACAACUCCUCAUCCAUCCAUUUAAGGGUCCAGUGGAGGCCACGAAGAUGGUUAAACACCUGGAGCAUCUCCCUUGUGAGAAAAGGCUGAGACACCUGUGUUCAGCCUGGAGAGGAGCAGGCUGAGACAGGAUCUUAUCAAUGCUUAUAAAUAUCUGAAGUGUGAGAGUCAAGUCCAUGGGUCAGACUCUUAUUUGUGGUAUGCAGCAAUAGAACAAGGGGCAACUGGCACAAAUGGGAACACAAAAAGUUCCAUACUAAUACAAGAAGAAUUUGUUUACUGAAGAAUUUCUUUGUCAGAGUGACAGAGCACUGGAACAGGCUGCCCAGAGAGGCUGUGGAGUUUCCUUCUCUGGACAAAUUCAAGAUCCAUCUGGAUGCCUACCUGCGCAACCUGCUUUAGCAGAGGGUUGGACUCCAUGGUCUCUAGAGAUCCCUUGCCAUCCCUACAAUUUUUUGAUUCUGUGAUCUCUUAGAGAUCAGCAAGAUCUACCUGAGAUGUUCCACCACAUCCAUUCUGCUUCUGCAGAGCAACAAGGCUGCCAUAUGAGGGCCCAAAAAUGAUUUAACCCUAAUUUAUUUUCAUGGGAUCACUUUUCUCCCACUGAGUCUAAACAAAUAGAAUGUCAACUUAUUUGAAAAUGAAAUACACUUUUCCUAUCAAAUAGGCAGAAUUAUGACCUACUAUUUAUCUGAAGAAUUUGCAAGAAAAGGGCUCUGGAAAGGACCUCAGGUCACUCCCAGAAGAGAGCAGGACUCAUCAGUUCUGUGCCCUGUAUCACCAGCUGCCUCCUCAAGGAAAGGGAGAAAAUUACAUGGAUAGGGUUUCUCUCAAGCAUGAAAUAUUAAAGGAAGCGAGGCCAGGUGCUUACCAAGCGUGCUUUGUUAUGGACAUCCCUCAUUUGAAAGAACACCUACUUAUCCUAACUCUUAUUCAUCCUUUGCUACUAGAAUUUUCCCCAUUGCUUUUUUAACCUUCUGUGUCUAUGGCAUUUGAAGUAACAAGUAAACAAAAGAUCAGCUGAACCAAAACCAGGUUGCUGGCAGCCUGGGCUGGUGGCUCAUAGAUGGAAAGAAGCCAAAGCAACCCGGCUCAUGGUUGUGCAAACAAAUAUCGGUAACAAUGCAGCAAUUUUUCUUAGCCAUUCCCCUUGCCUAGGAGGAAUGUAUUUCACAGCCUCCAGUUCUGCAAACAUUACUGCUAGCCUGUGAGUUAAUUUCUCAGCACUAUGCAAGAACAAGCUGGAAAUGGUCUCUUUCCACUGACAUCCUCUUUCUCUUGAGCUUUGUCACCAACAAUCCAUAGCGGCUGUCCAGAAUAGCUGAGGUUUGAAGGGAAACAGGGAGGUCAUCAGAUCCCACUGCCUCUGUGGGCAGCUGGUUCCUGGUCUGAGACACCCAUGCAAUAAAACUGUAUCUCCUGAUGCUCAGAGGGAGCCUGCUGUGCUCCAGGUUGUGCUGCUGACUCUUACUCUAUUGCUGGGCACCACUGACAAGCGCUUGGCUCUUCCUUCCAGCUCCCUUCAGGUAUUUGUAAGUAUUGAUGAGAUCACGCCAAACCUUGCUUCUCCUCUACCUCCGUAUCUCAUACAUGGGGAAAAAUGUAGAUAUUACAAUAUACUGCUACUUAUUAUUUUCGCAACAGCAAAAAGCAUCCUGUUCCCUGGUGGAGCUGCCCACUCUCUUGCAAUGUAGAACUCCUUUAAAAACAGCCAAGUAAUGAACCAAAACCAUAACCAAACCACUUAACUGCAUCAGUGGACAAGGUAACUGUGUCAGUGGACAAGGGAAGAGCCACUGAUAUCAUCGACCUGGACUUCAGUAUGGUCUUUGACACAGUCCCCUAUAACAUGCUUCUCUCCAAACUGGAAAGAUACAAAUUUGGUGGGUGGACUGUUCAGCAGACAAGCAACUGGUUAUGAGAUCAUACCCAGAGUGUGGUAGUCAAUGGCUCAAUGUCGAGAUGGACAUCAGUGACAAGUGGUGUCCCAUGGGGAUCAGUGCUGGCCCCAGUGCUCUUUAACAUCUUCAUCAGUGGCAUUGACAGUGGGAUUGAGUGUACCCUCAGCAAGUUUGCAGAUGAUCAUAGAAUCAUAGAAUUAUAGAAUCACAAGUUUGGAAAGGACCUACAAGAUCAUCUAGUCCAAGCAUCAAAUCUACGAUGCCAAGCUGUGCAGUGUGGUCACCAUGCUUGAGCGAUGGGAUGCCAUCCAGAGAGACGGGCUGAACAGAGGGCUCAAGUGAACCUCAUGGGGUUCAAUAAAUCCAAGUGCAAAGCCUUGCACUUGGGUAAUGGCACAGCCCCUUUUACCAAUAUUUGCUGGAGGAUGAAAGGAUGGAGAACGGCCCUGGCGAAAAGAACUUGGGGGUGUUCGGGAAGCUGGACAUGAGCCAACAACGUGCUCUCACAGCCCAGAAAGCCAAGGGAUGAAACACUUCCCAUCUCCCAACUGAGAAAGGCUCCAGCAAGAUCUGAUAGAAGGUUUUCAGUAUCUAGAGGGGUGCUAUAAGAAAGAAGACUUAUUAGCAGGACCUGUGGUGAUAGAAGAAUGGGAAAUGAUUUCAAAAUGAAAAAGAGGAGAUUUAGUUUGGAUAUAAGGAAGAAGUUCUUUACAGUGAGGUUGGUGAGGCACUGGAAAAGGUUGCCCAGAGAUGUGGUUGAUGCCCCAUCCCUGGAGACAUUCAAGGUUAGGCUGGACCAGGCUCUGAGCAACCUGAUUGAGCUGUAGGUGUCCCUGUUCAUUGCAGGGGACUACAUAGCCUUUUAGAGUCCCUUCCAACUCAAAAGAAUAUAUUAUUCUAUGAUUCAAAUCAACCAAACUAAAUUUUAAAAACCUCACAAGAUUACUUCCGGGAAUAUUCAUUCUUUGAAAUGAUUAUUUUGCAGAAACUUCAUCAACUUCCUUAUUCUAGGACUUCCUCACACAAUUUCCAUAAUGAAGAGAGAAAACAGACUGUUUGUUUCCAAAUGGGAUAUCACACUUUUUUGACUGACACUGGUUAUCAGAUUUAUCAAAUGAGAAAUACAUGAUCUUCGGUCCAGUACAUUAGAUGUUGCUAAAUUAUGGUCAUUUUCAGAAGUCAGCUUAGUAGAUGUGACAAAAUCUCUUAUUUCUUUUCUGCAAUUGUAGACAUAGCAGCAUUGUCUUUCUUUCUUCCUUCCUUUCUUUUUCUUUCUUUCUUUCUUUCUUUUUUUCUUUCUUUCUUUCUUUCUUUCUUUCUUUCUUUCUUUCUUUCUUUCUUUCUUUCUUUCUUUCUUUCUUUCUUUCUUUCUUUCUUUCUUUCUCUCUCUCUUUCUUCUUUCUUUCUUUCUUUCUUUCUUUCUUUCUUUCUUUCUUUCUUUCUUUCUUUCUUUCUUUCUUUCUUUCUUUCCUUCUUUCCUUCUUUCCUUCUUUCCUUCUUUCCUUCUUUCUUUCUUUCUUUUUCUCUCCAGUGCAGCAUCAAAACCAGAGGCAGAAAAUCAGGACUCAGCAGGUUUAAUGCAUUCUUAUUGUUAUAUCUUCACAUUUUCUCUAGUUCUUGCUCCAAGUUUGGGCUGGUUACCUGGGUCCCAUGGGCUUUUUUCUGAGAACAGAGUAUUUGUGCUCCAUUCUCCUAUUGUUAAGGGAACACACACUUUUUGCUUUCAAAAGCAGAUUCUUCCUUUGCCUUUCUGUUUAGAAUUAAUCCAUUCCUGCCUCCUAGCAACCACUUACCAUUGCAUCUACAGCCAAGACAGCAAGUAAACAUCCGCUGUUUUAUACGACAGAAGGAAGGUGUGCCACCCAAAGGAACCUGGACAAGAUUGAAAAGUGGGCCCACAUGAACACAGCGAGGUUCAACAAUCCAAGUCAAAGGUAUUGCACUUGGAUUGGAGCAGUGCCAGACAUCCCAGACUGGAAGAAGGACAUGGAGGUUUGGAGGACAAAAAGCUGGACAUGAGCCAGCAGUGUGCGUUUCCAGCCCAGAAGACCUGCUGUAUUCUGAGUUGCUUCAAAAGAGGGAGGGCCAGCAGGGAGAGGGAAAGGACUGUUGCCCUCUGCUUUGCCUUCAUGGGGCCCUGCCUGCAGCACUGCUUCCAGGCCUGGGGCCCCCAGCACAAGAAAGAUGCUGAGCUGUUGGAGCGGUUCCAGAGAAGGGCCAUGAAGAUGAUCAGAGGGCUGGAGCACCUCUCUUACGAAGACAGGCUCAGGGACUUGGGAUUGUUCAUCCUGGAGAACAGAAGGCUCCUGGAGGACCUCACUGCUGCCUUCCAGUACUCAAAAGGAACUUGCAAACAGGAGGGAAACCAACUUUUUACAAAGGUAGAUAGUGAUAGAACAAAGAGGAAUGGCUUUAAACUAAAAUAAAGGAGGUUUAGGUUAGAUGUUCGGAGGAAAUUCUUUACUCCAAGGGUGAAGAGGCACUAGCACAGGCUGCCCAGAGAAGCUGUGAGUGUCCCAUCCCUAGAGGUGCUUAAGGCCAGGUUGGAUGGGGUCCUGGGCAGCCUGAUCUGGUGGGAGAAGACCAGCCCACGGCAGGGGAGGUUGGUACUGAAUUGUUUUUAAUGUCCCUUCUCAUCUAGACCAUUUUGUGAUUCUGCGGUCCCUGAAAGAUAUUUGUAGGGUUUUUUUACAACAUUGUUCUGGAGUGGUAACAGUUCUGAAAUUGUGGAAUUCCCUAGAAAAUAGAAAAAACUGUUCCCUCUCAGCACACAAUGUGUUUUAAAAUGUCUAGCAGUUCCUCAGUUUUCAAAAAAGCACAAACAUGAUGCAUCCCACAGCAUCUGGUAGGAAACGUAACAUGAGAAAUUCUCUUGAUUAUACAGCUGGAUACAACAGGGCCACAGAUUCAUAAGUAAGCUAUUAAAAUUGUAAGGUCAAUGCAUUUUUCUUUAUCCUGGUAUGUCAUUUGUAUGCUCCAGCAUUUUGUCAACUAAGCCUUUUUUCCUCUUGAGCAACCUUAUUGACGAUAAAAUGUACGAAAUCCAGGUGUAGCCUUGCUUGCAGCUUAAGAAAGCCUUUGAAGAGGCCACAGAAUCAUAUAUCAUUAAGAACUGCAUGAAGUAUCAAAAAAACUUUUGGCCAGCCCAACAAGCCUGCAAAUAAAGGCCAUGCCAUCAGUCUGGAAACAUGAAGCAGCCCAUCAAGGUUAUUUUGGUAUAUUUUGCAUUUUAGCACUUGACUACCAGGUUUCUUUCAAAACCACCACUAAAACACCCAAUUUCAGCAGUGAUGUAUGAAUGAGGCUCAGUCAGCAAAUCAAAUAGUUUUUCAAGUUCAGGGUUGAUUGCAGCCAAGCCCCUUCAUCAUCAUCAGGGUGUGCGAUAGGUAAAUGGCCUAAUUCUCACUUCUACCAGAGUGCCAGUGCUGAUACAGCCCUCACUAUCAUUGUGUUUAUAAAGCUACCUGACAGCGAUACAACACUGUCCUCUUCUAAUACAGAAAUAGGAGUUAACAAUACAUCUGCAUUCACACUAUGGCCAGUCUAAACUUGGACGUUUUACUGGCAGAGACAUGCUGGUUCAGAGUGCAGAGAAAAGUGUCACACACCUCUCUGACAGCUGUGCUGGCAGGCACCCUGGAGGAGUGCUUAGAUAGACAAAACAAGUUUCUGCAGGGUAGAAGUAGCUGUCUGCAUAAGCUUGUCUCAUAUGAGAAGCAGGGUACUUUGAACUGGCUUAGCACCCUUUCACUGAGUUUGACCCAACGUCUAAAGCCAUAGCUGUGUCAUUAAAGAUACUUAAUUCCAGGAAAUAGUAAAAGCAGUAACAGCAAGAGAGCUCUUUUGCCAGUAUAGAUAUCUUCCCUCAAGGGUAGGAAAUGCAUCAGUAGAACUACCAUAAAUAAGAUCUGAAGGGCACGGGUUAUACCUCUUGAACUACAACAAUGUUGUUAAAAUGGUCCAGAAGAUGAGGCAGUCUGAGACUACUCUUUGACUGCAGAUGACUUCAGUUAGAGAUGCUUUAGGACAAUGUAUCAAAAUAGCUGUAGAUUAUUAAGCUGUAAGUUUUAUUAGGUGGUUUCAAUAAUGCUGUUGCAAGAGAGUAAAAUUGCAGGCUCAGACAGUGACAGUGAAGUUGAACUCAAACAGGGAUGGGGAUUCCCAAGGAUGGCAAAUUUGGACAUCCCAUUUGUGACUCAGAAGCUGAGGAGACUCCAAAAGCUUCCCUGCUGCCUUUGGUACAAAACUCUGCUGUGUACAUUCUUCCUCCCAUUGUUUUACAGUGCUAAAAUUAGUGCAGAGCGACUGUGUAAACAUGUAUGGCAAUAAAGAAACUUUGCUGAAUGUGGUUUUGUUUUUCAUAAUUUCAGCAUUCUGCUCUGAAACAGAAAACUGUUGACAUUAAAUCAGACCUUCAUCACCCUGCUAGAUGCCCUGACCUUCUGCAGCAAAUCCUAGAAAAGAUUUUGACCUUUUCAUGACAAAGAUGUCCUAAAUGUCUCUCCAAAGGCCUCAGCUGCAACUCUCAAGUCAAAGGUGAUGAUGGUAUUUGGAAUCUGCAAGAUAACAGUGUAACAGGAUCUGUCAGCUGGACAUGGAGGAGCAAUCCUUGUAAGAAACACAUUCUGUCUGAACACAAUCCCAUUUCAUACUUGUGUUCCCAUGAGUCUCAUGUGGACAAUUCAUAAGCACCAUAUAAAGAAUGGAUUCUGAUCAGUGCUGAGGUACUUUGAAUUACACAGCAUCUGAAAAAGCACAUCUUCUAUUCUAGAGAUUGGUUCUGCUUUCCGUGAACUUCCAAUUGAACAAGACUCUCCAGGAACAAGGCUGCUGAAUAGAAUUAGACAAAUCCAAGACGUGGAACAAAACUUUGAACUUUGUGGGUUUUUUGUUUGUUUGUUUGUUUUGUUUUGUUUUUGGGAGAGUGCUGUUUUUUCAUUUAAAUCACCAAAAUGCGUGCAGAGCUCAUAUCCAAAUCAUUUCAUGGACAUAUAAGUAGAUUUAGUAGUGUUACCUGUUAUAUAGGUAGUGCUUGAAGAUGCUACUCUCAAUUGUUUAUACAGUUGGAAAAAAAGCUCACUUGGGCUGGAAUUUUCUUUGCUGGUUACCUAUUGUAGGUUUCCGAAUGUUCUUUAAACUUCAGUCCAAAUCACUUCUAAGAAUUAUUUCUAAAGGAAAUCUGAAGACUGUACAGAGUUGCUCCAAUAAACCUCAUGCCUGAUACAGUGGAAAUCCCCACACUUGCUGUAAACAACUGGCUCGGAGACCUGAAAGCAAUCUGACUGUUGCAAGCCUACUUUUGUUGUUAUUUCACAUUUCUCAGUUCAUCUACAGUAGACACAGUCUGAAACUGUGUGUGAGCCAUUUAAUUCUCUUAUCAGUUAUGAUAGCAUAAUACUAAUUUUGGAAAUUGAAAUACCUAAGAAAACAUGCGUGCCAAUACUCAUCCUGUGGAAAACAGCCCUCUGUUCUCUCACUUGUGUAAGCAGCUGGCAGGGGUACACGCCAGUACUACAUCAUGUCCUGUCAGUGGUUUGUUUUGUCCUAGAACCCAGGAAUAUCCUCAGGUUAAUACCAUGGCAGCAAAGGGACUUUUGCAGAGAAGUAACCUUUGUCUUGUCUCUUGUUAGCUGCUGGUGUCCAAUUGGAAUGAUGAUUUUUCCAUCUGGAAGUAUUCCUGUUUGUACACUGAUCUGACCCUAUAGCAUUCAC
ensembl:lncRNA